rnacentral:rRNA from 1 species
UGGGGAAUAUUGCACAAUUGGCGAAAGCCUGAUGCAGCGACGCCGCGUGAGGGAUGACGGCCUUCGGGUUGUAAACCUCUUUCAGCAGGGACGAAGCGCAAGUGACGGUACCUGCAGAAGAAGCACCGGCUAACUACGUGCCAGCAGCCGCGGUAAUACGUAGGGUGCAAGCGUUGUCCGGAAUUACUGGGCGUAAAGAGUUCGUAGGCGGUUUGUCGCGUCGUUUGUGAAAACCAGCAGCUCAACUGCUGGCUUGCAGGCGAUACGGGCAGACUUGAGUACUGCAGGGGAGACUGGAAUUCCUGGUGUAGCGGUGAAAUGCGCAGAUAUCAGGAGGAACACCGGUGGCGAAGGCGGGUCUCUGGGCAGUAACUGACGCUGAGGAACGAAAGCGUGGGUAGCGAACAGG